UACGUAGGGGGCAAGCGUUGUCCGGAUUUACUGGGCGUAAAGAGCGCGUAGGCGGAGACUUAAGUGUGGCCUGAAACGCCCCCGGCCUCAACGGGGAGGGUGGCUGCAAACUGGGCCUCUUGAGGGCGAUAGAGGAAGGUGGAAUUCCUGGUGUAGCGGUGAAAUGCGUAGAUAUCAGGAGGAACACCCGUGGCGAAGGCGGCCUUCUGGGUCGACCCUGACGCUGGAGGCGCGAAAGCGUGGGGAGCGAACGGG
rnacentral:rRNA from 1 species